rnacentral:rRNA from 1 species
GACAGAGGUGCCAAGCGUUAGGCGGAAUCACUGGGCUUAAAGCGUGUGUAGGCGGAUCGUUAAGUACCUUGUGAAAUCCCACGGCUCACCCGUGGAACUGCUGGGCAUACUGGGCGUCUUGGGCCAACUAGGGGCAGCCGGAACAAGCGGUGGAGCGGUGAAAUGCGUAGAUAUCGCUUGGAACGCCGAAGGUGAAAACAGGCUGCUGGGGUUGUGCCGACGCUGAGACACGAAAGCCAGGGGAGCAAACGGG